CACCCAAUGGUCUGAGUCAAGCCUCCGAGGUCAUCGCACCGUCACUUCCAUGCGGAAGCACAUGAUCUACGCGAGCCUCGAAUGGUGGUUGUACCAAAAGGCUGGAGGGGUCAGUGGUUUUCUCGGC